UCUGCAUAGUAUCCUCAACCAAACCUGCUCCACCAGCCACCAGAUGACUCGAACAUCUGUUCAGGAUCUUCCUGAUGUGUUAUUCAUCCCAGAAACAGUGUUCUCAUCUCCAUAUUACGGUUGGAUGAGGAAACCAAAGCUCUGAGAGGUUGUGACUCAGGUCACCAACUGUUAAGUGGAGAAGCCAGGACUGAUCCCGCUGUCCGGGCAGAGCCUGCACCACAACCACUGUACUCUACCGCCCUCUAGUGGGCCCUUGUCUGACGGUGUUUCCCCAACACAGCACUCAGUUCAGAAGCUGGAAGUCCUAGAUCAAGGGGUCAGCAGGAUUGGUUUCCUCAGGGACCUCUCCCUCCUUGCUUUGUGGAUGACUGUUUGCUCCCUGUAUCUUCACAUGGUCUUCCCGCGAUGUCAACAGCAUGGUGAAGUAGUCUUCUGCUGUCCUCUUUGGGAGGAACUCCGAUUUUGACAGUUGCCCACGGAUGAGAAUGCUUUGGGGAAGUCUAGGAGUUCAGCAGAGAAGCUCCAGCACAUCAUUGAAGAAAAAAAAUCAGGACUAGACACAUGAAAAUGGUAAAAGGAACAAUUUACUUUUACCCAUAUUGCUCCUCUUCCAAAGUGGCACAGCUCAGUGACAAGAGAGACCGAGCCAGCUGGCUGGCAGCUUCUCCCAGGGGGGGAAGUGAAGAACUAUCUGAGUGAACGCCUGGCUUCCCCAGCUGUGUGGAGAGACCCGCUUCUGUCUCCCUCCACCCAGAACCCUGAGUGUUGAAAAAGAAAGCAUCCUGUGCGGUUAUCUGGGAGGCCUCAUGAACUUGGCCCGACAUCUCAGCUGCCCUUGACCUCCGCAGCCACUGCCCCAGAAGCCAGCUGGCUUCCCGCAGCUGAGACCUGGCAGCCCCUGCCUCAGCUCCCCCCAGCGCUUCUCAUUUUCUGCUCUGAAUAUGUCUCCUUAGCACUCAGGAUCUGUGGCGUGUUACUUUCCAGCAGAAAGAAGCUUUCUCAGAGGGAAUCUAAAAUAGGCAGUGCAAAGACACCUGUGAUUUCUCUCAGCGUACUCUGAGCCACACGGGUGCAAAAGGGGAAAGUAGAUGACAGAAGACCCACCAUCUUCCCAGGGCAUGGCUUUGAAAUGCAAAUUCGUUUCCACUUGACCACAGACCAAGAAGGCACCAGAGGGAUCCCCAGAGGGAGAGUCUGAGCAGGAAUUCAUAAGUGUGUGUAUGAACUUCAGAAGCAAGUUCGGGGACAAAGAAGUCGAUUUGCACAAUGGCUGUGUAGCUGAUGUCACUGCUCCAGGACCCAGCUCGAGCUCACGAGGCACGGGGAGCAGACGGGGACCGUUGGCGUCACAGCAUCACCUGCGGGCCCAGGAGGGAGGAGCUCAGGGGCAGCAGGCUCGGCGUCAGAGGAGAUCAGCACCAAACCGAGAGAGUCUAGGAUUCUACCUACCUGAGGGAUGAUUGACAGAGUAGACAGUGGAGAGGGAGGAGAAUCAGAAUAAAGCCUCAGUGAAGCUGAGAGA